rnacentral:rRNA from 1 species
UACGUAGGGUGCAAGCGUUGUCCGGAAUUAUUGGGCGUAAAGAGCUCGUAGGCGGUUUGUCGCGUCUGCUGUGAAAACUCGGGGCUUAACCCCGGGCCUGCAGUGGGUACGGGCAGACUAGAGUGCGGUAGGGGAGACUGGAAUUCCUGGUGUAGCGGUGAAAUGCGCAGAUAUCAGGAGGAACACCGGUGGCGAAGGCGGGUCUCUGGAACGCAACUGACGCUGAGACGCGAAAGCGUGGGGAGCAAACAGG